CCUACGGGUGGCUGCAGUGAGGAAUAUUGGUCAAUGGGCGCGAGCCUGAACCAGCCAAGUAGCGUGAAGGAUGACUGCCCUACGGGUUGUAAACUUCUUUUAUAAAGGAAUAAAGUGAGGCACGUGUGCCUUUUUGUAUGUACUUUAUGAAUAAGGAUCGGCUAACUCCGUGCCAGCAGCCGCGGUAAGACGGAGGAUCCGAGCGUUAUCCGGAUUUAGUGGGUUUAAAGGGAGCGUAGAUGGGUUGUUAAGUCAGUUGUUAAAGUUGGCGGCUCAACCGGAAAAUUGCAAUUGAUACUGGCAGUCUUGCGUACAGUUGCGGUAGGCUGAAUUCGUGGUGUAGCGG
rnacentral:rRNA from 1 species